rnacentral:rRNA from 1 species
AAUGAACGCUGGCGGCGCGCCUAAUACAUGCAAGUCGAGCGAGAAGACGUAGCAAUACGUUUGUAAAGCGGCGAACGGGUGAGGAAUACAUGGGUAACCUACCCUAGAGUGGGGAAUAACUAGCCGAAAGGUUAGCUAAUACCGCGUACGCUCCUUGGACUUCGGUUCAGGGAGGAAAGCGAUGCCGAGGGUAUCGCGCUCUUGGAUGGGCUCAUGUCCUAUCAGCUUGNGGUGAGGUAACGGCUCACCAAGGCUUCGACGGGUAGCUGGUCUGAGAGGACGAUCAGCCACACUGGCACUGCGACACGGGCCAGACUCCUACGGGAGGCAGCAGUAAGGAAUAUUGCGCAAUGGGCGAAAAGCCUGACGCAGCGACGCCGCGUGGGGGAGU